ensembl:snRNA U6 U6 spliceosomal RNA
GUGCUCAGUUCAGCAGCACAUGUACUAAAAGUGGAAUGAUGCAGAGAAGAUUAGCUUGGCCCCCGCGCAAGGAUGACACGAAAAUUUGUGAAGUGUUCCAUAUUUUU